UGAACUACCUUAUGAUGUGAUACACUCUCUCCAAAUCUCCCUUCACCACCCUGCAGAAAACCCACAGAGGUUGAAGAAAUAGUUACAAUAUCCUGAGGUUUGGGAUAUCCUGCAGCUUUUCAGAUGGCACUCAGCAUCUAUAGACAUGGCAACUAUAUUCAGCCUUGUAGUGUCAAACUGUACCCUACCUUCUGACUCCAUAAUGCUUGUGGUAUUGGCAGCCCAGCUGGAAGGAAGGAAACUGGUGAUGCUUUGUAUCCUGAAGCUGGAAAGGAAAACAAAUACAGAGCAACUCCUCCUCCAACACAGAGAAGUGAUGCUUUCCAGCUCUUCUAUUAAAUUCAUGGUUGCUGCAGUAAAACAUCUGAGGAAGUGUUCCGCUCAAAAAGUGAAAGCAAUAUACCUGCACUUUAAGGAGCCUUGCCAGGUGAUUAUAUGAUACUUUGCCAAUACUUUGGAAUAGACAGCCUCUCUCCUCUGUUCAUAUUUGAACAUCUGGGUAUGAAUGCAAUGCAAAUGUUGCUCUUCUUUGGCUGUCUUAAUAAUUUCUGGAGUCUAAAGAUGCUGUAUUUCUCCAUGUGUAUUAGCUGCUGGUUGCAGUGACCAAAUGCUUUGCCUGUUAAAAUUACCUUAUACCUUUCUACCAGCAGGAUAUAUCAAGGCUUAGAGAUACUCAUUGGAGAGUUACCUACUUCUGAAUACAAUAAAGAUGUUCUAUUAGAAGAUACAGACACACUUACUUCAGAAAGAAAUUCUUGCUUCUUAUUUUGUUUUUCUUUUCUGAGUUAAAACCUUUU